GGGCGAAUAGCUCAGCUGGAUAGAGCGCUCGCCUCACACGCGAGAGGUCACAGGUUCAAUCCCUGUUUCGCCCACCA
rnacentral:tRNA from 1 species